rnacentral:hammerhead_ribozyme from 1 species
ACACUUCUGAUGAGUCUCAAGCAGGACGAAACAGCUGUCCAGUGU